GUUGGUAGGAAUAGGGGGGGGGGGCUUUACUUUUUCAGCAAGGUUAAGUCGAAAGUCGAGCUGAUGAAGUCAAGAGUGGACAAUAUUUCUGUGCUCAAGUCUACCCUUUGGGUUCGAAAAAAGGGAUUAAGAGUAAAUAUUGAUGAGACAACAACCCAACAACACAGACAAUCAAGAUAUUGAAAGUUUUUUUUACAGUCUUUUGGUUUUUUUUUAUUAUAGAGAGAUCCCUAUACACCUUAUCAAGCCAAACAAAAA
rnacentral:lncRNA from 1 species